ensembl:misc_RNA
UCAUCAGCCCUGACAACUGAAGUCCUCGAUUUAUCCACAGAACAGCUAAAGGGUUGGCAGAGUAAGUUCCCUAGCACUGUUCUGCCAUAUGGGCCUCAUCCUUGGCCUGGGGGUGAGAAUAACAACAACUAGCACUCUUCAUCAGGAGUUGAAAGCACUUUACAAGGAAGCCAGUAUCAUUAUCCUCAUUU